AGCAGCUCCGGGUAUCCCUGAUGCAGCCUGCCGCGUGGUGUGUGAAGCCUUCGGGUUGAUGCACUUUCAGUCGGGCGGAGGGCUGAUGACUAAUAUUCUUCUUCAUUGACGUUACCCACAGAAGAAGCACCGGCUAACUCCGUGCCAGCAGCCGCGGUAAUCA
rnacentral:rRNA from 1 species